GGCGACGUAGCCAAGCGGUUUAAGGCAGAGGUCUGCAAAACCUCUAUUCGGCGGUUCGAAUCCGCCCGUCGCCUCCA
rnacentral:tRNA from 1 species